AUCAGAACAGCUACUCUCUUUUUGUCUGUCCUCUUUUGAGAACGUGGGUCAUCAUUUGUGUUAGCUGAAUAAGGAAAGUCUUCUCUGCAGUAGUCAAAGUACCUGAAACUCUUACUCAGUUUUAGAUACAACCAAACUGCAUCAAGACAGGCUGCUUGAAGACAAAAGGUUAUCUACUUCAACGGUCAUUUUUGCAACGACUCUUUUCUAGUUAUAUAUAUACUAAAGGAAUCAGUUGUAAAGAUAAUUAAGGAUUAUUAACACGCACGAACAAACUCUGAAUUCCUCAU
rnacentral:lncRNA from 1 species